GAGGGUAUAGCCUAGUAGUAGAGUGUGUGCCUAGCAUGCACAUCCUGGCAUGCACAAGGUCCUGGGUUCAAUCCUCAGCACCUCCA
rnacentral:tRNA from 1 species